rnacentral:lncRNA from 1 species
CUGUUCUCGUCAGUACAAUACAGAAAAACACAAACAUAUGUUCAAUUCAAUUCUGUAAAUUGUUUCGUACCAGUACAGCUAUAUAGAUCCAAAUUAUCACUAUCGAAUCACUGCCCUUUUGACCUCUCAUGGCUGUUUCCAGUGCCAUCAACUUGACAGGAUUUUGCUUGUCAUACCGACGAAUAAUGCUAUCGAACCACAUAGUGAAUUAUAGAAGGGAAAAAUGGGAAAGAAGGAGAGAAACGAGGGGAAAGGAUGGGAAAAGAGGAAAGAAGAUGGAAAGAAUAGAGAGAAUUUAGGAGAUGAAAGAUCAG